rnacentral:rRNA from 1 species
AGAGCGGCGGACGGGUGAGUAACGCGUGGGUAACCUGCCCUGUACACACGGAUAACAUACCGAAAGGUAUUCUAUUACGAAGAAUAAUAUGCUUUUGUCGCAUGGUAGAAGUAUCAAAGCUCCGGCGGUACAGGAUGGACCCGCGUCUGAUUAGCUAGUUGGUAAGGUAACGGCUUACCAAGGCGACGAUCAGUAGCCGACCUGAGAGGGUGAUCGGCCACAUUGGAACUGAGACACGGUCCAAACUCCUACGGGAGGCAGCAGUGGGGAAUAUUGCACAAUGGGCGAAAGCCUGAUGCAGCAACGCCGCGUGAGCGAUGAAGGCCUUCGGGUCGUAAAGCUCUGUCCUCAAGGAAGAUAAUGACGGUACUUGAGGAGGAAGCCCCGGCUAACUACGUGCCAGCAGCCGCGGUAAUACGUAGGGGGCUAGCGUUAUCCGGAAUUACUGGGCGUAAAGGGUGCGUAGGUGGUUUCUUAAGUCAGAGGCGAAAGGCUACGGCUCAACCGUAGUGAGCCUUUGAAACUGGGAAACUUGAGUGCAGGAGAGGAGAGUGGAAUUCCUAGUGUAGCGGUGAAAUGCGUAGAUAUUAGGAGGAACA